rnacentral:rRNA from 1 species
CAGCACUUCGGUGGCUGACGAGUGGCGAACGGGUGAGUAAUACAUCGGAACGUGCCCGAGAGUGGGGGAUAACGCAGCGAAAGCUGUGCUAAUACCGCAUACGAUCUACGGAUGAAAGCAGGGGACCGCAAGGCCUUGCGCUCACGGAGCGGCCGAUGGCAGAUUAGGUAGUUGGUGGGAUAAAAGCUUACCAAGCCGACGAUCUGUAGCUGGUCUGAGAGGACGACCAGCCACACUGGGACUGAGACACGGCCCAGACUCCUGCGGGAGGCAGCAGUGGGGAAUUUUGGACAAUGGGCGAAAGCCUGAUCCAGCCAUGCCGCGUGCAGGAUGAAGGCCUUCGGGUUGUAAACUGCUUUUGUACGGAACGAAAAGGUCUUUUCUAAUAAAGAAGGCUCAUGACGGUACCGUAAGAAUAAGCACCGGCUAACUACGUGCCAGCAGCCGCGGUAAUACGUAGGGUGCAAGCGUUAAUCGGAAUUACUGGGCGUAAAGCGUGCGCAGGCGGUUAUAUAAGACAGAUGUGAAAUCCCCGGGCUCAACCUGGGAACUGCAUUAGUGACUGUAUAGCUAGAGUGCGGCAGAGGGGGAUGGAAUUCCGCGUGUAGCAGUGAAAUGCGUAGAUAUGCGGAGGAACACCGAUGGCGAAGGCAAUCCCCUGGGCCUGCACUGACGCUCAUGCACGAAAGCGUGGGGAGCAAACAGGAUUAGAUACCCUGGUAGUCCACGCCCUAAACGAUGUCAACUGGUUGUUGGGAAUUUACUUUCUCAGUAACGAAGCUAACGCGUGAAGUUGACCGCCUGGGGAG